CGCACAUUGCGCCCCCUGGCAUUCCGGGGGGCAUGCCUGUUCGAGCGUCAUUUCAACCCUCAAGCGUAGCUUGGUAUUGGGCCCUGUCGGCAACGGCUGGCCUUAAAAGUAGUGGCGGUGCCGCCCCGGCUCUGCGCGUAGUAAUGUUCUCGCGCGUGAGCGGUGGCGAGCAGUGGCCAGCAACCCCUCAACUUUCUCCGGUUGACCUCGAAUCAGGUAGGGAUACCCGCUGAACUUAA
rnacentral:misc_RNA from 1 species